CCUACGGGAGGCAGCAGUAAGGGAUAUUGGUCAAUGGGGGAAACCCUGAACCAGCAACGCCGCGUGGAGGACGAAGGAUUUCGGUCUGUAAACUCCUUUUGCAGGGGACGAGUAAGGACGGUACCCUGCGAAUCAGUCACGGCUAACUACGUGCCAGCAGCCGCGGUAAAACGUAGGUGGCGAGCGUUAUCCGGAUUUACUGGGCGUAAAGGGUGUGCAGGCGGACUGCUAAGUGGUGCAUGAAAUCUCCGCGCUUAACGUGGAGAGGCUGUGCCAGACUGACAGUCUGGAGUACGUGAGAGGGUUGUGGAAUUCCGGGUGUAGUGGUGAAAUGCGUAGAGAUCCGGAGGAACACCAGAGGCGAAGGCGGCAACCUGGCACGUUACUGACGCUCAUACACGACAGCAUGGGGAGCGAACGGGAUUAGAAACCCCGGUAGUCCAUGCCGUAAACGAUGAUAGCUGGGCGUGUCGGGGUGCAAACCCUGCGGUGUCGAAGUCAACACGAUAAGCUAUCCGCCUGGGGAGUACGGUCGCAAGGCUAAAACUCAAAUGAAUUGACGG
rnacentral:rRNA from 1 species